rnacentral:rRNA from 1 species
UUUUACACAAUGGGGGAAACCCUGAUGUAGCAACGCCGCGUGGAGGAUGACGGAUUUAGGUCUGUAAACUCCUUUUAUAAGGGAAGAAAUUUGACGGUACCUUAUGAAUAAGCACCGGCUAACUCCGUGCCAGCAGCCGCGGUAAUACGGGGGGUGCAAGCGUUACUCGGAAUCACUGGGCGUAAAGGGAGCGUAGGCGUUUUAUUAAGUCGUGAGUGAAAGCUCGCAGCUCAACUGCGGAACUGCUCAGGAAACUGAUAGAAUUUAGUAUGGAAGAGGUAGGUGGAAUUUCCGGUGUAGGGGUAAAAUCCGUAGAUAUCGUAAGGAAUACCAGAAGCGA